rnacentral:tRNA from 1 species
GGCCUCAUGGUGUAAUGGUUAGCACUCUGGACUUUGAAUCCAGCGAUCCGAGUUCGAAUCUCGGUGAGACCU